ACUCUGUGCCAGCAGCUGCGGUAAGACAGAGAAUGCAAGCAUUAUCUGGAAUGAUUGGGCGUAAAGCAUCUAUAGGUGGCUUUUCAAGUCUGCCGUCAAAUCCCCGGGCCCAACCCUGGAUAGGUAGUGGAAACUACCAAGCUAGAGUACGGUAGGGGUAGAGGGAAUUUCCGAUGGAGCGAUGAAAUGCGUUGAGAUCGGAAAAGAACACCAAACGGCGAAAGCACUCUGCUGGGCCGACAGCUGACACUGAGAGGACGAAACUAGGGAGCAAAAACUGGGAUUUAGAUACCCCAGUAUAGUCCUAGCCGUAAACAAUGGAUACUAAGUGUUUUGCGUUAUCGACCUCGCAAGUACUGUAGCUAACGCGUUAAGAUUCUCGCCUAGGAGUACGUUCGCAAAGAAUGGAAACUCAAAGAAAUGACAGGGCCAACAACGUGGAGCAUGUGUUCAAUUCGAUGCAAGUGAAGAACUUACCAGGGCUUGACAUGCCGUGAGAUCUCCUGAAAGAGAGGAGUGCUUCGGGAACGCGACAAGGUGGUGCAUGGCUGUCAUCAGCUCGUGCCGUAAGUGUUGGGUUAAGCCCGCAAUGGAGUGCAACCCUCAUGUUUAUUGCCAGCAUUUAGUUUGGAACCCCUUGAACAGACUGCCAGAGUGAUAAAGCAGAGGGAAGGCUGAGCGAUGACGUCAAGUCAUCAUGCCCCUUACGCCCUGGGCACACCGUGCUACCCCCCCAAAUGACAGGGACAAAGGGUCGCGAACCCCGCGAGGCAACUAACCUCAAAAAACCCCGGCCUCAGUCGGAUUGCAGGACUGCAACUCGGCUUGCAUGAAGCCGGAAUCGCUAUAAUCGCUGGUCAUGCCAUACGUGCAGUGAUCCGUUCCCGACCUUGUACACACCGCCCGUCACACUAUGCGAGCUGGCCAUGCCCCAAGUCAUUACCUUAACCACAAGGAGGGGGAUGUUGAAGGCUAGGCUAGUGACUAGAGUGAAGUCGUAACAAGGUAGGCGUACUGGAAGGUGCGACUG
rnacentral:rRNA from 1 species